rnacentral:lncRNA from 1 species
AUGUUAGCAGCAGCAGCAGCAGCUCAAUCCACUCGCAAACACGUCAUGGAUGCACCAGCAGUCCUGUUGGAUAGAGUCAGGAUAGUAAACACGAAUCAGCAGUGGUGGUACCAACUAGCAGAGACAGCCAGGCACAAGUCAGCGCAGGAGGGGCCAGGGCCAACAAGCAUUGCCCAGUUAGCUCUACACGCAAGCCAAGCUCAGCCUCCGACGAUAGCCGGUGAGUUCUAUUUGUACCCUCCAAACAUCAUGUGUCUUCCAUGGAUCUUGUUACAGUGUGUGAGUCUGUCUCAGUCAGUCUGUCAAUCAGCCCAAGUCCGGGAAAGCACCAAAUACGCUGUGUCGUACCACCAGAAGGUUUUUGUGGACAGGGAGAGGCAUUCCGCCUCCACCCACAUCAGCGAGCUCUGUGAAGAACAGAUGUGACAGCCAGAGUCAGCUAAGAAGCUCUAGGGUACCACGUCCAGGGCAUGAUGGAUCAGGCCUGAGGUAGGAGGGAGGAAUCCUGUACUGCCCACCCCGACAGACACCGAGGCAGCCCCGAGCCUGUGGAAGUACUGGCUCCCCCACCAGCACCCGCUGCUCUGCAGACCCAGAGGGUGCAAGGGAUUGAGCUGCAGGGGGAUGGGGAAGGGAGGAGCGCUGUUUCCCAGACUUCUCAGGGGGAGCAACAGAGGCACACACAGCGGGACAGAGGCCAGGCUCCACCUGUCACUUCGCAUCUUCUCUGAGGAGCUGCUCAGUGACUUCUGAUCUUUACACAUUAAGGCGACGAAGAGGAACCAUUUCCUUUUUUUUUUUUUCCCUAAUGGGGCUUAGAAUGCUCCUGCCGGGUUUUCAUUAAACUAUGUCAAAAUGCCUUUUUAGAAAACAAAAAGUAUUUUCUUCUACGUAUGAUACAAUAUUUACAUUCCAUGGGUUAAAGGACGGGGGACUAGUGGUGUGAUCCCAGCUGAUGGCAAGACACUGAGUCAGAUGAUGGGAUGGAAGAGCUAUCAGUAGCAAGAGCACAGUGGGGCUGCCUGCCUGUACAGCACUGCUCUGCCUUGCCAAGAGUUGGCAGAAAACAAAAACAAAGAAAAACAGAAGCACAAGCAAAACCAAACAAACAAAAAGCAAAUGAAAGGUUGCAGGGGGGGCAGAGUGGAUUCAGAUCUAUAAGCACGAGGGGAACCACCAAAGGCAUUGUCACCAACCCUCUCCAUGGAAAGUCAGCUGGUCCACCCCUUCUCAGAAGCAAGCUAGAAAGUGAUGGUCUUUAGGGACGUGGGCACUUCAGUUACAGCUAAUCUUUCAGACCCCGGAUCAAGCUGUUUCUCAUCUGACUGAGAUCCUCUUCAGGCUGUCAAAGUCGGCACUGCCCAUCCACUCUCACCCCUCGUUCCCGAAGCCUCCGUGUGGAGACCUGGAUCUUAACUGCAGCACA